rnacentral:rRNA from 1 species
CUUUUCUUGUUUUUGGAUAUGAAAUAUGGCCUGCCCACUGAAUAGUUUUUGAAGGGCCGCGGUAUUUUGACUGUGCAAAGGUAGCAUAAUCAUUAGUCCUUUAAUUGUGGACUGGAAUGAAUGGUUGGACGAGGAAUAUACUGUUUCUUAUUAUUUAUUUGAAUUUAAUGUUUAAGUUAAAAGGCUUAAAUAUUUUUAUGGGACGAGAAGACCCUAUAGAAUUUAUAUAUAUUUAUUUAUUUAUUUUGUUUGAAUAUUUGUUUAAUAUUUAAUAUAUUUUAUUGGGGUGAUAGGAAGAAUUAAAUAACUCUUUUUUUAUUUAUACAUUUAUUUAUGUUUAUUUGAUCCUUAUUUUUUGAUUAUAAGAUUAAAUUACCUUAGGGAUAACAGCGUAAUCUUUUUGAAGAGUUCUUAUCUAUAAAUGGGUUUGCGA